AUUGAACGCUGGCGGCAUGCUUUACACAUGCAAGUCGAACGGCAGCGCGGGCUUCGGCCUGGCGGCGAGUGGCGAACGGGUGAGUAAUGCAUCGGAACGUGCCCAGUAGUGGGGGAUAGCCCGGCGAAAGCCGGAUUAAUACCGCAUACGACCUGAGGGUGAAAGCGGGGGACCGAAAGGCCUCGCGCUAUUGGAGCGGCCGAUGUCGGAUUAGCUAGUUGGUGGGGUAAAGGCUUACCAAGGCGACGAUCCGUAGCUGGUCUGAGAGGACGACCAGCCACACUGGGACUGAGACACGGCCCAGACUCCUACGGGAGGCAGCAGUGGGGAAUUUUGGACAAUGGGGGCAACCCUGAUCCAGCCAUGCCGCGUGCGGGAAGAAGGCCUUCGGGUUGUAAACCGCUUUUGUUCGGGAAGAAACCCUCUGGGCUAAUACCCCGGGGGGAUGACGGUACCGGAAGAAUAAGCACCGGCUAACUACGUG
rnacentral:rRNA from 1 species